ensembl:snoRNA
AGCUUCUUGUAUAAACACUGUGCUAAAAUUUAAAAAAAACUAGGAUCCUAUCUUGGGUUUUUUGUAAUAAUGCUAACAGAGUACACACAGGAAAAAGAGUAACUGCACCGGCCCCCAAAGACUGGGGUGGACCUCUUUCUUAAUGUCCAGUGUACUUUGCCUUAAGAUUUGGUGCAGUAUUA